GUGACUGAGCGGGGAGGAAGAGCGGGCUCCCUCGCAGGCGGAGAGCGGCGCGCGCCCCCCGCCCCACCUGCCCCGCGCGGGCCGAGCGGCGCGAGGCGCCGAGCGCGGGAAGGCGGGCGCGAGGCCCCUCAGCCGCUCGGUCCCCCCACUCCCCUCAGCCCCUCAUUCCCCUCAGCCCCGCGGCCGCCUCGCCCCUCUCUCCUUGCACGCUCCGCUGGUUGCGCUUCCCCAUCCGUCAGGCUCCAGCUCUGGGAAUCAUGUCUUUUCCUUCAGUGGUGGUGGGGUUUGGGGGGCGUGUGGCACAUUCCUGGUGUUGGGGGCUGCAGGGGCUCGGCUCUCCCGGGCCCAGGAGACAGGUGAAUCCCUCAGUUUGUUGGGUAGCGAAGGCAGGUAGCUCAGGAAGGAGAGUUCACGCUUGUCUCAAGCAGCCACCUGCCGCCCUGGGGACCUGGAGCAGUGGCCCAGGAGGUUGUGCUCAAGUGACAUUGAGGAGAAACCAUGCAAUUAUCCAACUGUACUGACACCAUUAGGGAGCUUGAGCUGGAUCACAGAGAGCAAGCUGUUUUUUCAAGAGUGGAGAGUAACUUGGGUCCCUGCUCUAGGUUUUCAAAGGUGAUCAAGCAUCCUUGUGAGGUCUUAAGUUGGCCAUCUCAUGCCACUGGACUGGUCAAGCCCUUCAGUCCACUUGAAAACACUUUACAAUUUCUGAAUAAACACAGUUUCCUGUCUCCAAACUUUCUCUCUGUAAUUGAGCAAUCACUUGGCUGAAAUACAAGCUAUUGACAUGUAAGAGGAACAGACAGGUAUUUAAUCAAGACUCUGCUUCGAUGGAAAAUGAACCACUGCAUUAUAUUGCUCACAUCUCUCAACAGAGAAUAGAGAAUAUUCACCAUUGUGCCGAAAUUUUCAUCAUGUGAACUUUUGAAUUCAGAGCUUUUCUAAACCCCUGUUUAAUUGGUG
rnacentral:lncRNA from 1 species